UACGUAGGGUGCGAGCGUUGUCCGGAAUUAUUGGGCGUAAAGAGCUCGUAGGCGGUGUGUCACGUCGUUCGUGAAAAACCUGCAGCUUAACUGUGGGCGUGCGGUCGAUACGGGCAUCACUGGAGUUCGGCAGGGGGAGACUGGAAUUCCUGGUGUAGCGGUGAAAUGCGCAGAUAUCAGGAGGAACACCGGUGGCGAAGGCGGGUCUCUGGGCCGAUACUGACGCUGAGGAGCGAAAGCGUGGGGAGCAAACAGG
rnacentral:rRNA from 1 species